rnacentral:tRNA from 1 species
GGUUUAGUGGCUCAGUGCUUAUACGUUAGGCUUGAAACUCAGAGGUCCCAGGUUCGAUUCUUGGCUAGUGCA